GACGAACGCUGGCGGCGUGCUUAACACAUGCAAGUCGAACGGAAAGGCCCUGCUUUUGUGGGGUGCUCGAGUGGCGAACGGGUGAGUAACACGUGAGUAUCCUGCCCUUGACUUUGGGAUAACUUCAGGAAACUGGGGCUAAUACCGGAUAGGAGCUCCUGCUGCAUGGUGGGGGUUGGAAAGUUUCGGCGGUUGGGGAUGGACUCGCGGCUUAUCAGCUUGUUGGUGGGGUAGUGGCUUACCAAGGCUUUGACGGGUAGCCGGCCUGAGAGGGUGACCGGCCACAUUGGGACUGAGAUACGGCCCAGACUCCUACGGGAGGCAGCAGUGGGGAAUAUUGCACAAUGGGCGGAAGCCUGAUGCAGCAACGCCGCGUGCGGGAUGACGGCCUUCGGGUUGUAAACCGCUUUCGCCUGUGACGAAGCGUGAGUGACGGUAAUGGGUAAAGAAGCAUCGGCUAACUACGUG
rnacentral:rRNA from 1 species